rnacentral:rRNA from 1 species
CAGCCGCCGCGGGAAUACAGAGGGUGCGAGCGUUAAUCGGAUUUACUGGGCGUAAAGCGUGCGUAGGCGGCUUUUUAAGUCGGAUGUGAAAUCCCUGAGCUUAACUUAGGAAUUGCAUUCGAUACUGGGAAGCUAGAGUAUGGGAGAGGAUGGUAGAAUUCCAGGUGUAGCGGUGAAAUGCGUAGAGAUCUGGAGGAAUACCGAUGGCGAAGGCAGCCAUCUGGCCUAAUACUGACGCUGAGGUACGAAAGCAUGGGGAGCAAACAGGAUUAGAGACCCCGUAGUCCCUGUCUCUUAUACA